AACUUGCCUGAGUUUUGUUCACCUGUGGUAAACAUAACUUGACGAUACUUUUACGUUUUGUUGUACAACGUAAAUUACACAUCCAUAC